rnacentral:lncRNA from 1 species
CCCUGAUAUCUCCCCGGUCAACAUUCUUGUCUCUUGUCAGCAAUUGCUCCUGUCCUGAUUCCAUCUGGGAUUUGGAAUGCAUUCAGAGAAGAGGCCGUGUAUGGAGCCUGGAACUGGAAGGGGCAUCCAAGGUCAUGCCUUUCAGUCUUCCUUCAAAUUCUACAGCUACUGUGAAGAAAGUUGCAUUCCCACAGAGAACAUGUCAGACUGCAAGAAAAUUAUGACAAAAGGUCUCCAAGAGGACCUCUGAAACUUGGAUCUUAUCUCAUUGCACAAGCCAAAGCCAGUUUCCUAAAUCAAAGAAUGAAACAAAGUACAUCUUUAUCAAGUAUUGUUUUGACAUCACUCCCCUUUGUAUGACUGGACAGGUACUCCCAUUGUCUCCUUAAAUAAUUUUUAAACACUCCUGAAAUUUGGCUUGGAGACCCUCCUUUGAAACCAAUUUUCCUCCCUGAACGUACUAGCUCAUAUAUUUUUUUUUUACUUCAACCUGGCAAAAGUUAUUAUCCCUCAUAAAACUUU